rnacentral:pre_miRNA from 1 species
CGUUUUAUAUUAUUAGUGUUGAAUUUUUGUUUCAUCCAACACUUUUAGUCUGAAAUGAG